rnacentral:rRNA from 1 species
UACGUAGGGUGCAAGCGUUGUCCGGAUUUAUUGGGCGUAAAGAGCUCGUAGGCGGUCUGUCGCGUCGGAUGUGAAAUCCCAGGGCUCAACCCUGGGCCUGCAUUCGAUACGGGCAGACUAGAGUAUGGCAGGGGAGACUGGAAUUCCUGGUGUAGCGGUGAAAUGCGCAGAUAUCAGGAGGAACACCGGUGGCGAAGGCGGAUCUCUGGGCCAUUACUGACGCUGAGGAGCGAAAGCGUGGGGAGCGAACAGG